UCUUAUCUCUCCAUUACCUUAUCUCUCCAGGAACGACGAGAGCCACUCCUUUUUCUCCUCGCCCAUGGACGGAUCUCGUGUGCGAGCUCCGCUUUUCCCUUUUCUCGUCUUCCCCUCUUCUUCCAUGCGUCCCCCACUCCCCGCACUAUCGACAGGCUGUGCCGGCCGGCCAUGGCAGCUCGUCGGCCAAUCGUCGCACACAGCACCCACCUCACUUUUUCCACCCUCGGGGGUUCAUCAAGCUCCUGCUCCUCCGCCAAUCACCAGCACCACACCAGUUCCGACCCCCCUGCUGCUACCACGACGUAGUGCAAGCUUUAGGACAAGCGGUGCUGGAACCAGCAGAGGGCGGUGCUGCAACCGUUGUCAUCUAAAGCUGGAAUCAAGAGGUGCGGCUCCUGCAAGCCCCAGCCGCAGUGCUGGAACGGCGGCUAUGUCGUGCUACGACGGGAAGACGAGAUGCUGGAACCGGCCUUGGCAGGAGCUACAAUCAGCGGCCUUUUUUGCUUCCAGAGCCCAAUGGCCAGUGGAACCGCUGGGGCAUAUUUGUUUUGACGGGCCUCCGCUGCAUCUGGCGAGACGGCGAGCGGCUACGGCGAGGCGGUGAGUGGCGAUGGGAACGGCUAGUUGGUGUUGCUAUGGCAAGCUAGGCGCCGAGUUCUACAGGGGUCGUGCAUUGGUUUGUGAAGAAAGAUGAUGCGUAUCAGGGUAGAGGAUAAAGUUUAAAUGGUUGACAAUAUGCUAAUCCUACGGUGCAGAGUGGACCGGCCGAAACUGGCCGAAAGUUUUGGUCGGUGCGCUGGCGCCUAGUACUCGCCUAAAGAAUGACAUACCCGUCUUAAUUGGUAUGCAACUAUUUCCUUCUAUAUAUACGUCCACUUUUUCUCAUGAA